AUUGAACGCUGGCGGCGUGCUUAACACAUGCAAGUCGUGCGGUAACAGGCGUAGCAAUACGUGCUGACGAGCGGCGAACGGGUGCGUAAUACAUGGGAAUCUGCCUUUUAGUGGGGAAUAACCCGGCGAAAGCCGGGCUAAUGCCGCAUAAGAUCUUCGGAUGAAAGCGGGGGAUCGUAAGACCUCGCGCUGAUAGAUGAGCCCAUGCCGGAUUAGCUAGUGGUGAGGUAACGGCUCACCAAGGCGACGAUCCGUAGCUGGUCUGAGAGGACGGCCAGCCACACUGGGACUGAGACACGGCCCAGACUCCUACGGGAGGCAGCAGUGGGGAAUAUUGGACAAUGGGGAAACCCUGAUCCAGCGACGCCGCGUGUGUGAAGAAGGCCUGCGGGUUGUAAAGCACUUUCGUGGGAACGAAAUAUGCC
rnacentral:rRNA from 1 species